CAAACGCGAAAUGUGUUAUGACAUGCAGUCUUUGUGAAUCAUUUACUCUUUGAACGCACCUUGUGCCCAUUGCCAUUGCGCAGUGGGUAUACUUGUUUGAGUAUCGCAAAGGAAAAAAGUCGCUCUUUCGAGAGUGGACGUGCGUUUCACACACACGGUGUGUGAUCUGUGAAAUGGAUGGCGGGUCUGAUUAGUGCAGGAAGCCCACGCAUACGCACUCUUGGGAUAAAUCCAAUCAAGGGUGUGUGUGGGAAAGGAUGGCACUAGUGGAAACGACACACUACAGUAGUGAGGCAGCGAUCAGCGAGCGUCAUUGACUUGACACUCUCUGCUCGCUCCUCGCACUCACACGACGCUGAUCUCAAAUCAAGUAAGAGGACCCGCUGAACUUAA
rnacentral:misc_RNA from 1 species